UACGUAGGUGGCAAGCGUUAUUCGGAUUCACUGGGCGUAAAGGGUCCGUAGGGGGUCUGCCAAGUCUGAUGUGAAGUCCCGUGGCUCAACUGCGGAACUGCAUUGGAUACUGGCGGGCUGGAGUCUGCGAGGGGUGAGCGGAAUUCCUGGUGUAGCGGUGGAAUGCGUAGAUAUCAGGAAGAACACCGAUGGCGAAGGCGGCUCACUGGCGCAGUACUGACCCUGAGGGACGAAAGCGUGGGGAGCAAACAGG
rnacentral:rRNA from 1 species